CUCCUGCUGCUAGCACGGCGAAAAAACAGAGGGGAAGGAAAACUGAAGUAAUGUAAAAAAAAAUAAUAAUAAUAAAUAUUCCAACUUACUAUUUACAUGGCGAGCGGAAGUCCCGCGCAAACGGAGUUAUUUGCGGACUCCUUCGAUGAUACGUCGGAUCAAAAUGUCGAUGCCGAUGAAGACUUCCUUGUGCUGUAUUUGUUGGCCAUUUAGAAAAUCCUGCUGUCUUCUCCUGCUUCACUAGAACUGUUGUAAAGCAACAUCAGGAGUUUCUAACCCCGGAUUUCCACCAACUGCGGAACGGCUGCGGAUCCGCUCAGGAACGGCGGCGGAGUCAAUAGGUUUCCAUUAAAGUCAAUGUGUGCAUUUUCACUGACUGCGGAACGGCUGCGUUCCGACUCCGUCCCAGCUCCGGCGACCGCAGCCCUCCGGAGAAGAUACGCAGAGUUUCUAUUUUUGCCGGAUGCCGGAGAGCGCCGCAGGAAGUCGAGCACAGAAAUAAAACCAAAACAUUAUUGUCACUCAUAAGUACAAUUUAAACCAAACAAAUUUUGUUUUAUAUACUUUUUCCUUUUCCAACAAGAACAAUAGUUAACUUUUUACACAACCUACUACUUCCCAAUACAUUCAAAAAGGAACCCAAAAUAAACAUUUAGCAUUUUAUAAGUUGAUCAAUUAUAAAUAUUGUACUUACCCAUGGUAGAAUCACAAUAAUCUCCACAAAAAAGGGAGAUCAGCAGGUCAGCAAAUAGAUGUUUCCCCUGUACUCCUCUGGAUGGAAACAAACUGUUGCUGGUUUUGUAGUUCUGUUUAUAGAAACUACAUCCUGUUAUAUCGCGCGAUCAUACGUAAAUUCGCGAGAUAUCGUGUGUCCUCGUGACUUCAGCUGUCAGUCAUGGCCGCAGCCGUUCCGCAACAAAUCCGUAUCUGGUAGGUAUUGAAGGACGGCAGAGCACGGAUCCGACACGCAGCGGAGCCGAUCCGCAGCCAUUCCGCAGUUGGUGGAAAUCCGGGGUAAGUGUAAAUUAGGCUGCUUGAGCAUUAUGUGUCAGAUCAAGUUUUGAGAAGUAGUGCUGCGUUCCAUACAACUGGAAUGCAUUUAUGGUUGGAGAUAUCAAGUAGGACUAACCAAAAUCCAACUUGAGUGGAACGCAGCAUAACCAUAUACCCUGACGAAAUGAAAUUUAUUGCAAGCAACAUUUAAAUCGUAAAUAUUAUUUUAUAGAUUUUUCCAGUUAUAAUAGACCUCCUUGGUAGAUUCAUAUGAAAAUGUUAGAUUUUUGAAUGUCUGUUCAGGAGAAAAAAAGAGUUUCUAAAACAGUCAUGCCGCAGUUAAAAUUAGGCUUACUUGAGAAUUAAGUGUGGUUUCAAGUUCUGGCUUUCAUGCGUGGACAUGUUUUUAAAAUGUCAAUUGGUAUUACUAGUUAGCUGCGAAAUAAUGUAUGAUGCCCAAAGACAUAGAGUGUCUUAUUAGUUGUGAAAGUGUGUUUUCUUAAUGGCAUGAAUCACAUCACAUUGAAGGCCUAGAUUUUAAAUGGACUGCCCACAACUGAUGGGAACUGACUGAUAAGGAGUUACUAUUAGCUGCUUUGAGUCAUUGCUUUCCUAUUCUUGACAGAAAAUAAUGAUCAAACUGAUGUCUCCCUCAAGCAAUGAAAAGUUCAGGCUUUAGCAAAGUUUGAGAUUUGAUUGGUGCUUAAGAAAAAUGCUUUGUAAAGCUUUGACACCUUAACCAAUUUGUUUCAAAUCAAUGCUUCUAAGCUCAAGUCAAGUCAAGUCAAGUGAUUUUUAUUGUUGUUAUUAAUGAUCAGGUCUUGUGAUUUCAUCAACAGGUGUUGUCAGUGUGUGGUUGUGCAAGUGCUUGUAAUCACAGAAUAAUUUACUGAACCUUUUAACAAACCAAAUGAGUCAUUUGAUUCACAGCUUUGAAAAGUUCUGUGUCAUCCAUCCUUGCAUUUAACAGUAUCACACCUAAAUCAAAGGAACACUGAUCUCACCCACGGUAAAAAAACUAAAACAAAACAAAAAACCAUGUCAUAACAUAAAUUUACACAUAACCCCCAAUAACUUUUAAAUGUUAAUUAAUAACACCCCCAAACACUCCCAAAACCUGCACAGAUGUACCUCAUUAAUUGUACUAUGACAACAGCCAAUAGCAUGUCCUCAAGCAUGAACAACAACAGAUAUUAAAGUAUUAUACUUGUAAAGACUAUAAUUCAGUGUAGUUUUAGCAUCUGAUAUUCUUCUAAAUAUGUAAAUGUGCCAUUGUGCACCUAGAAAAGUGGCAUCUGAUCAAUCCAUCUAACCACUGAUCUACAAAAGCCCCGGAACCUGAAUAAAACAAGACAGAAAUGAAUGAAAGUGGAUGAGGGCAUGCCUUUCUGUGUUGAUUGUAGACAUGUGUUAAACACAAGUCCAGAUGUUUAUGUAAGUAGUUAUAACUUGCAUGAUAUGACUUAUAUGAUAG